AGCAGUAGCCACGGGAAUACGUAGGGUGCGAGCGUUAAUCGGAAUUACUGGGCGUAAAGCGUGCGCAGGCGGUUUCGUAAGACAGGCGUGAAAUCCCCGGGCUCAACCUGGGAAUGGCGCUUGUGACUGCAAAGCUAGAGUGCGGCAGAGGGGGACGGAAUUCCGCGUGUAGCAGUGAAAUGCGUAGAUAUGCGGAGGAACACCGAUGGCGAAGGCAAUCCCCUGGGCCUGCACUGACGCUCAUGCACGAAAGCGUGGGGAGCAAACAGGAUUAGAUACCCGCGUAGUCCCUGUCUCUUAUAA
rnacentral:rRNA from 1 species